ACUGUGAAUGUAAAAGGAUAACAUCUGUAUUUUUUAAUCUGGACCCUAUUUCCUCAUGUCUUGGUGUCUAACUGACUAAUAGGGACAACAAUUUCUUAAAUUGGUCCAGUAUUGAGGGAGAGCGCUGUGACGGUUGCUGAUCACGGGCUGUAAUGUAAUCCUAUUGGGGCAAGCUGGC